UUAAAUUGAAGAGUUUGAUCAUGGCUCAGAUUGAACGCUGGCGGCAGGCCUAACACAUGCAAGUCGAACGGUAACAGGAAGCAGCUUGCUGCUUCGCUGACGAGUGGCGGACGGGUGAGUAAUGUCUGGGAAACUGCCUGAUGGAGGGGGAUAACUACUGGAAACGGUAGCUAAUACCGCAUAAUGUCGCAAGACCAAAGAGGG
rnacentral:rRNA from 1 species